rnacentral:rRNA from 1 species
AGCAGCCGCGGUAAUUCCAGCUCCAAUAGCGUAUAUUAAAGUUGUUGCAGUUAAAAAGCUCGUAGUUGAAUUUCGGGAUCAGCAGGUCGGUCGUGCCACUGGUAUGCACUGGCCUUGCUGAUUCCUCCCUCUUGAUGAGCCGUAAUGCCAUUAAUUUGGUGUUGCGGGGAAUCAGGACUGUUACUUUGAAAAAAUUAGAGUGUUUAAAGCAGGCAUGCGCUUGAAUACAUUAGCAUGGAAUAAUGAAAUAGGACGUUCGAUCCUAUUUUGUUGGUUUCUAGGAUUGACGUAAUGAUUAAUAGGGAUAGUUGGGGGCAUUAGUAUUCAAUUGUCAGAGGUGAAAUUCUUGGAUUUAUUGAAGACUAACUACUGCGAAAGCAUUUUGCCAAGGAUGUUUUCAUUAAUCGAGAACGAAAGUUAGGGGAUCGAAGACGAUCAGAUACCGUCGUAGUCUUAACCAUAAACUAUGCCGACUAGGGAUCGGAUGAUGUUAAUUUUUUCAAUGACUCAUUCGGCGCCU